GCAAACUUGGUCAUUUAGAGGAAGUAAAAGUCGUAACAAGGUUUUCGUAGGUGAACCUGCGGAAGGAUCAUUACUGAAGUCCAAGGGGGAGUGCUGGCCCUUCGGGCAUGUGCACCCUCCUGCCCUUCAUCCACACACACCUGUGCACCCUUCGAGGCGAGGACUCCCAUGCCUGGAGCCGGACUUUUGGUCCCGAGGACUCGCCUACAUUUUUCACAAACUCUUUUGUACGACCUGGAACGUAGCUGCGGCGUUGCCGCGAAACGUAUACACAACUUUCAACAACGGAUCUCUUGGUUCUCGCAUCGAUGAAGAACGCAGC
rnacentral:misc_RNA from 1 species